rnacentral:rRNA from 1 species
AUCGAACGCUGGCGGCAGGCCUAACACAUGCAAGUCGAACGAGCGGCGGACGGGUGGGUAAGGUAUGGGGAUCUGCGUGACAGAGGGGGAUAACUACUGGAACCGGUGGAUACUACCGCAUAAUACCCGAUGAAGCCAUAUGGGAUUAGCUUGUCGGUGUGGUAACGGCGCACCAAGGCGACGAUCCCUAGCUGGUCUGCGAGGAUGAUCUGCCACACUGGGACUGAGACACGGCCCAGACUCCUACGGGAGGCAGCAGUGGGGAAUAUUGCACAAGGGGCGCAAGCCUGAUGCAGCCAUGCCGCGUGUAUGAAGAAGGCCUUCGGGUUGUAAAGUACUUUCAGUCGGGAGGCGUUACCGACAGAGGAAGCCCCGGCUAACUCCGUGCCAGCAGCCGCGGUAAUUC